rnacentral:rRNA from 1 species
UACAGAGGGUGCAAGCGUUGCUCGGAAUCACUGGGCGUAAAGCGCACGUAGGCGGCUUUCUAAGUCAGGGGUGAAAUCCCAGAGCUCAACUCUGGAACUGCCUUUGAUACUGGGUAUCUCGAGUAUGGAAGAGGUGAGUGGAAUUCCGAGUGUAGAGGUGAAAUUCGUAGAUAUUCGGAGGAACACCAGUGGCGAAGGCGGCUCACUGGUCCAUUACUGACGCUGAGGUGCGAAAGCGUGGGGAGCAAACAGG